GCUUAACUAGCUUAAAUACCGUAGUCGAGGCUGAGAGGUCGAUCGAUCACAUUGGGUCUGAAAAAACCCCAAUACGUAUAGUACAGCAGUGGGGAAUAUUGGUCAAUGGCCUAACGGCUGAACCAGCAACUUGGGGGAAUGUAUAGCUUUUGCUAACGUAUCUGAAUGGAUUAAUUCUAUUAAUUAACAGAUAUAGAAUCGACUAUGUCGAAUAAAGUUCUAGAUAGAAAAUGAAGAUUAUGACAGUAUUCUAUCUAUAUGUCUUGACCAAAAUACGUGCCAGCAGUCGCGGUAAUACGUAGAAGACUAGUGUUAUUCAUCUUUAUUAGGUUUAAAGGGUACCUAGACGGUUUAACUAGUCCAAAACAGGAUACGGUUAUACUAGAGUUAUAUUUGAAAAGGGGAGUAUUUAUAGAGUAGAGUUGAAAUUUGAAGAUCCUAUAAGGACUGAUAACGGCGAAAGCAACCUUUUAUGUAAUAACUGACGUUGAGGGACGAAGGCUCGGGUAACAAAUAGGAUUAGAUACCCUAGUAGUCCAAGCAGAAAAUUAUGAAUGUCAUAGAUUAGAUAUAUUUGAUCUAUAAAUGAAAGUGUAAGCAUUCCACCUCAAGAGUAAUGCGGCAACGCAGGAACUGAAAUCAUUAGGCCGUUUCUGAAACCAGUAGUGAAGUAUGUUAUUUAAUUCGUAG
rnacentral:rRNA from 1 species